rnacentral:rRNA from 1 species
GGAAUAUUCCACAAUGGGCGAAAGCCUGAUGGAGCGACGCCGCGUGAGUGAAGAAGGGUUUCGGCUCGUAAAGCUCUUUUCUGGUAGACGAAUGACCGAUUAGAUUGGUAGGGACGGUAUACUGGGCAUAAGUCACGGCUAACUACGUGCCAGCAGCCGCGGUAAUACGUAGGUGGCAAGCGUUGUCCGGAAUUAUUGGGCGUAAAGGGAGCGCAGGCGGGAGAUCAAGUCCAAAUUCAAAGUUCGGGAGUAAUGCCCGUGAUGGUUUGGAAACUGGUUUUCUUGAGAGCAGGAGAGGCAAGCGGAAUUCCCGGUGUAGCGGUGAAUUGCGUAGAUAUCGGGAGGAACACCAGUGGCGAAGGCGGCUUGCUGGACUGUGUCUGACGCUGAGGCUCGAAAGCCAGGGUAGCGAACG